rnacentral:rRNA from 1 species
UUUAGAUUUAAAUAUAAAACUUGAGUAGUAAUAGUUAUGGUCUUGAAACUUAAAGAAUUUGGCGGUAUUUUAGUCUAUUUAGAGGAAUCUGUCCCAUUAUCGAUAAUCCGCGUUGGACCUUACUUAAUUAAUUUAAUAUGUAUACCGCCGUAUUUUUUUUGAAAAUCUUAUUAGGGUAUUUUCUUAAUAUUUAAUUUUAUAAUAUUUCAGGUCAAGGUGCAGUUUAUAAUUAAGUGGAGAUGGAUUACAAUAUAUUUAUAAACGGAAUAUUAAUUGAAAUAUUUUUAUGAAGGUGGAUUUAAUAGUAAUAUUAAUUAGAUUAUUAAUAUAAUUUAGGCUCUAGAAUGUGU